GAAAUGGAGAUGCUAUGAAUACUAAUGGAGAAACUGCUCAUGCUAGCGCGACCAAGACUCAGACUAAAGAGAAACUGACGAGUUCCAGACUGCUCUAAUGGGCGAAUUACUUUGGGUUAUUCUGUGUGACACAAGACUCCGAUUGGUUUUUUUGAAUUGCUGGAUCUACAUCGGAGUGACAGCGUUGAUGUCAAGGAGGAUUCGGCCUGAUUCAAGGCGGGAUUGAAGACCACCAUUUUUCUUCAACUUCGACCAACUUUUGGAGCAUCACCCUGGGAGCAGAUAAGCUCACCUUCACUACAAAAUCUUUGAAACAAUAUACAGUCACACUACCCGGGUAGUACACACAUAUACUGAAUAGGAGAACGGACAUUGAAGCACGGAAGCAAUAGGCUGUGAAGGGACUAUUCAACCAGUCGCUCUUGCUCCUUGAGUCGAACCUACGUGUAAUAAGGUGUUCCAUUCUUAGCAGCACCAAAAGAGAACUACUGUGUUACACAUGUGUCAGGUGCUGCUUGCGUGCAUGAAUGCAUGUGUUUUAGCCGGAGACAAAAGGAUGAUUGGCACACAGUGGCACAAUAGUCAAGAGUCUCCAGAUAUGGUAUGUCAAGUUCUGCACCAAGGUGUAGAGUGGUUAGCAGUGCUGCCUGACAGCAAGAAGGCUGAUUCCAGCAUAACUUUGGCCUUCUAUGUGGCGGUUUGCAUGUUCUCCCAAUGCCUCAGAGGGUGCUCUAGUUUCCCUCUACUACCACAAACAUGCAAGGUUAAUUUCCAGUCGGCUUCGUUGACCAAACUGCUGACACAAGAUCUUAAUUCACUCCCUGGCCGUGACAGGGUUGCUGCCACUACUCCUCAGGGGGGAGAACAGGCCUGAAAUGAUGGAUGAUGGAGAACCAGGCAGAAUCUAAGGCCGCUACUAGGACAAUGCUGCACUACACUGGAUGACAAGCUAUUCAGGUUGAGAAAUGCCGUUCACUUCAAAAGAAAAGGCAUUUUGCAGGCAGCGCUCAUGUUGCACAUUUAUGAAAAUCUGCCAUAGAACCAACAAAUAUUUGUACUUUUCUUUGUAUAUUUAACCAGUAAAACUUAUGACCUUCAACAUAAAGUGUAUAUAGUUUUAUUAAGAUCCAUCAACUAGCAUGGGCAUUUAGAAUGGAGUCAACCAUAUUGGAACACCCUGUAAAUGCUUAACAAACUGUUAACAAAUACUUCACAAAUCAACAAUAAAUCAUUUAUCA